GCGGACGGGUGAGUAAUGCCUAGGAAAUUGCCCUGAUGUGGGGGAUAACCAUUGGAAACGAUGGCUAAUACCGCAUAAUGCCUACGGGCCAAAGAGGGGGACCUUCGGGCCUCUCGCGUCAGGAUAUGCCUAGGUGGGAUUAGCUAGUUGGUGAGGUAAGGGCUCACCAAGGCGACGAUCCCUAGCUGGUCUGAGAGGAUGAUCAGCCACACUGGAACUGAGACACGGUCCAGACUCCUACGGGAGGCAGCAGUGGGGAAUAUUGCACAAUGGGCGCAAGCCUGAUGCAGCCAUGCCGCGUGUGUGAAGAAGGCCUUCGGGUUGUAAAGCACUUUCAGUCGUGAGGAAGGUAGUGUAAUUAAUAGCUGCAUUAUUUGACGUUAGCGACAGAAGAAGCACCGGCUAACUCCGUGCCAGCAGCCGCGGUAAUACGGAGGGUGCGAGCGUUAAUCGGAAUUACUGGGCGUAAAGCGCAUGCAGGUGGUUUGUUAAGUCAGAUG
rnacentral:rRNA from 1 species